CUAGUCACCCCCAUCACUCUGAGUGACAGGUGAGGGGAGUAUUAGUGACAGAUAGGCUGAGGGAGGUGGUGACUAGUGACAGGGUAAGGGACGGAGGGGGUGGCUACAGAGUGAGGGAGGUGGUGACUAGUGACAGUCACCACCUCCCUCACUCUGUCACUAGUCACCACCUCCCUCCGUCACUGUGUCACCCCCUCCCUCAUUCUGUCACCAGUCAUCCCCUUACUCUGUCACUAGUCACCCCUCCCUCACUCUGCCACUAGUCACCCCUUCCCUCACUCUGUCACCUGUCACCCCCUCACUCUGUCACUAGUCACCCCCUCACUCUGGUGA